GAUGAACGCUGGCGGCGUGCUUAACACAUGCAAGUCGAACGGAGAGCCAAUGACGGAAUUUUCGGACAACGGAUUUGGUUUCUUAGUGGCGGACGGGUGAGUAACGCGUGAGCAACCUGCCUUGGAGUGGGGAAUAACAGCUGGAAACAGUUGCUAAUACCGCAUAAUGCAGCGAGGGGACAUCCUCUUGCUGCCAAAGAUUUAUCGCUCUGAGAUGGACUCGCGUCUGAUUAGCUAGUUGGCGGGGUAACGGCCCACCAAGGCGACGAUCAGUAGCCGGACUGAGAGGUUGACCGGCCACAUUGGGACUGAGAUACGGCCCAG
rnacentral:rRNA from 1 species